CGGGCGGCACCAGCAGUGAGGAAUAUUGGUCAAUGGAGGCAACUCUGAACCGGCCAUGCCGCGUGAAGGAUGACGGCCCUAUGGGUUGUAAACUUCUUUUGAAUAGGAAGAAACUUAUCUACGUGUAGAUAACUGACGGUACUAUUAGAAUAAGGAUCGGCUAACUCCGUGCCAGCAGCCGCGGUAAUACGGAGGAUCCAAGCGUUAUCCGGAUUCAUGGGUUUAAAGGGUCCGUAGGCGGGUAUUUAAGUCAGUGGUGAAAGCCGACAGCUCAACUGUCGAACUGCCAUUGAUACUGGAGACCUUGAGUACAAAUGAAGUAGGCGGAAUGAGUCAUGUAGCGGUGAAAUGCAUAGAUAUGACUCAGAACACCGAUUGCGAAGGCAGCUUACUAACAUGUAACUGACGCUGAGGGACGAAAGCGUGGGGAGCGAACAGGAUUAGAUACCCUAGUAGUC
rnacentral:rRNA from 1 species